CCCACCCCCUACCCCCGCCCCUCACGCCCGGGUCUCGCGCUCCUCUUCUCUCCCCCCUCCCUUCCCUCCGGUCUCGCGCUCACGGUCCCUCUCACGCGUCUGGCGCUCGCCUGGCUUCUUCCUUGGGCCGUUCUCCUCCUCCGCCCCCCUCCGUGGCGAUUUCGAAAAGCGCUUCGCGGGAAAGGCCAGGGAAAAGAGAGAGCCUUCUCCCGGAGCGCACGAGUCCGGACCCCUCCGCCAGCCUCCGGAGCCGAGAGGACCCGCGGCGCGCCGGGUGGCCGGCUUCCACCAUAUAAAAAACCGACAAUGAACCCGGCGGAGCGUUUCCGUCCGACCAGGCCCUGGCGGAGGUCGAAUGGCAAAUGAACAACGGACUGUGCGCCCACAAUGCACCGGGGCUGGACCGGGCGAUGAAUUUGGAGUGAGAUGAUUGCACCAUGGACACCUCCUCCUCUGAUGCAUUGUGUCUGUGUGUGUCUGCGUGUGAGGGAGUGAGGGAGGCAGCACCCCGGGCCCAAGGCAAUAAUCAUUUCACAGAAAUGCACCGCCCCGAGUGUCUUAUUGCUGUGAUGAAAUGGAAAUUUAAAUAAAAGGUCGAACACGUGCGUUCACUGGGAAGUAUUGACAUGGGUGUUACAUCACCGGCAGCCAAUCAGAUAACUCCAGUUGUGUUUAUACUUCUACAACCACCUUGUGAGUAUUACAGUAUGUCAUAACGUUAUAAAUAUUAGGCAGGGUUUUCCCCGGAGUGGGGAGGAGUCAGCUUCUACGGUGUGUGGCACAGAAGAUUUUGCAUUUAAGAUAACAGUCUGCAUUUAAAAAAAAAAAUAACUGCUUGAAUGGUUUCACAUUACAAUAAUUCAGAAGUAAUUAGAGGGACAUAUUUGAGAUGGAAAUAAAGUUACCUUAAUAUAAUAUUAGAAAAAGUUUUCCGACUUUAUACUCAAUUGAGGAAUAUUAUUAUAGGUAGAAGUGCUUAUUUAAUGUCUAAUGUUUAAUACAUCGAACUCCUGUGUAUUUAAAUGUGAAUUCGUUAAUUUCACAAGAUUUUUUUCAAGUAAAAUUAUUGUUUCAAAUAUCAAGUUUGUGGGUUUUUUUUUUAAUUAUUUCAAAAUGUUGAUGGUUUUACUCUGUUACAUUGGCUUAGGGAACUCCCUCUAUAAGUACAGCUCCUACAACUCUUCUGCAUUGGUAUAUAAUUGUUAGUCUUGGCUGGGGCAUUGAGAGGUUAAUCACUUGUACUGUCAUCUAGCCAGUAGUUGCUAGCUAUUUGAGACUUGAAUCUAGGCCUUUUAAAGUUUUAAGUAUUUUAUGAUUGUGAUUGUGAGAUUCUUGUCCCAUACCUAGUGUACUUUUUUUUUUUUUUUUGCAAUUUAAUUUUUUUUGUAUUGCCAUUUAAAAAAAUAAAACAGCCUUGUAUUAUUGAAGUAAUUAUGAAACCUUAGAAAACAAUACCAUAUUACAAAUUUGCUGAAGGAAAUUUUAGGAAUUAACAUUUUUAACUAGCGUGUCGUUUUCAUUGGUUUAAAAAGUCAUCUACUAAAAGCAUUUUUCGUUUAAUACAAUGUAGUUUCAAGUAGAAUGUUUAAAUGAUAUACACCUUUUUAUUUGGGUCACCUGCUGAUAAAUAAUAAAGAUGAUUGGUUAAGAAUAUAAUUUGUAAUCCUGGAACUUGAACUUUUUGUUGUUUUCCCUUUCUGAAUUGGUUAACUAGUCUUUUAAGGAUGACCCCUUGGCAUUAUAACCAUAUUCUAGAAAUAAACAUACAUUUUAAGACUA